rnacentral:rRNA from 1 species
AGAUUGAACGCUGGCGGCGUGCCUAACACAUGCAAGUCGAGCGGUAACAGGUGUAGCAAUACAUGCUGACGAGCGGCGAACGGGUGAGUAAUGCUUUGGAAUCUUCCCAGUAGUGGGGAAUAACCAGUCGAAAGAUUGGCUAAUACCGCAUACGUCUGUAAAGGGAAAGCGGGGGCUCGUAAGACCUCGCGCUAUUGGAUGAGCCAAAGUCGGAUUAGCUAGUUGGUGGGGUAAUGGCCUACCAAGGCGACAAUCCGUAGCUGGUCUGAGAGGACGACCAGCCACACCGGAACUGAGACACGGUCCGGACUCCUACGGGAGGCAGCAGUGGGGAAUAUUGGACAAUGGGGGAAACCCUGAUCCAGCGACGCCGCGUGUGUGAAGAAGGCCUGCGGGUUGUAAAGCACUUUUAGUGGGGACAAAAAGCUACGGAUUAAUACUCUGUGGUCUUGAUUAACCAAAGAAAAGCACGGCUAACUCUGCGCCAGUAGCCGC